CCGAGUGGAUCUACAGCUCAACGAACAAGCGCGCAGGGCAACGAAGCUGCACAAUGAAAAGGCACAGAUCCAACCACAAAGACCAGAGGGCUUUUUCAAUGCCUCAAAGAACGGCACCGAUUGAUUGGAACCAACACGCAGUACCUCCAGCAGGCAGAGAAGCAAGAACCACUAUUCCUCCAGCUCAGGGACAAGCUACGCUAUUCACAGCCCUGUGUAAUGUUUAAAAAGUCCAGCAAUGUAAUUCCAUUAAAGUUAAAUGUAUUUGUAUUAACUUAUGUAAAA